GAUCUUCUCAUUCCAGUUGACGGCAAUGAGACGAUUUGCAAUCACCCCCAAACAUCAAUCAUUAAAAUGUAAAUUUUCAAUUAAACAAAAAACCAUAUGACUAUGAUUCCGGUGAGCGGCAAUCAAAGUCUAUCAUAUAUAUAUGUGUGACAAAAUUGUCACCAAAUAAUUCAAUACAUACAAUAUUGUCCAAUCAAAUCAUUCAAUGUCCAUUCACAGGAACCAGACGAACAUUCUUCCACAUGGCAGAAAUGGUUACAAUAUUAACCAUUGAAGCCACCGCCACCAAGGGCGGGGGGGGGGGGGCUAAUUCCUGGAGCCAAGACCUUGCCACAAAAUACCCCGUCCAAAAGUUCUAGUAUAACUUUGGAUACACUUGCCAUCCAUUCGUUGUAAAUUGUUCUAACCCUGCACUAAUAUUGUUGAGAAAAAUUUCAUUGCCUAUAUUUCAUAUAUGGACCCCAUCUGCCUCAAAAAGCUUUGUGUUUACAUGUUUGAUACCCAAAUACUUGAUAUAACAUCCCACAUUCCUUACUAUAUAAGCCAACACUGAACUGUUGAUUUUUUUAGCAGAAUUAUUCAUUUUUUCUAUGCUAUUUGAUCUUUCUAGGCAAUAUUUAUGACCAUACUAGCUUCCCUUACCAAAAUGUAAAGUUUGCUGCAAAUUUGCCGCAAGUUUGCUGCAAGUUUGCGGCAAACAAAUCAGUGUGCCAGAGCUGUUUGCCAGAAGUGUGCAGCUAAUGCCGCUAGCGGCAUACAGUGUGCCACUAGCAGUACACAGUGUGCCACUAGUGGCACAGUGUGCCAAAAGUGCACCACAACUUUUCCUAAAUGAAACAGUGUGCCAGAAGUGCACCACAACUUUUUCUUUGGUAUUCAGAAUCAAAACUGUGUGCCAGAAGUGCACCACAACUUUUUCUUUGGUUUUCAGAAUCGUGUGCCAGAAGUUCACAACUUUUUUCUUAAAAUUUUAGAACUGAAACAGUAAGGGUACCAAAGUUCACGACUUUUUCUUGAAUAUUUAGAAUAAAAGAGCCAUAUCAAUAUAUCCAUCACAACAUUUUCUAUAAUAGAACAUAUGCAACAUUUCUCGCACCCCCUUCAAUCGAUCUUCUUGUCUUAAUGGGAAUUAGCGGUCAUUUUGUCACCAAAUAUUGAAUUCAAUGAAAGUUGCCCUAUAAUAGAUAUUAUAUAUUAAAGUAAUAAUUACACUUGUAUUUAAUUAUUUCAAACACCUUUUAACAUCUUGAAAAAGAAUAUGUGAUUUUGGUGAUUGAAUAUUAUUGUCUUGCGACACAGUAUAAUUAUUCUCUAGUUACCUUUGCAUAUUUGUUAAUUUUGUUUAUAUUUGAGAAAUGAUUUAAUUGGGGUGCAGUGAAUACUUCUUCCGUAUAUAUAUUUCUUUACAUUAAAAGCGGUUAUCUAACAUAGUUUUAUUAGGAUUAAUUUUCUUGUUUUUGUACAUAAUAAAAAAUAAAUGUUCUUAUUAGUCAUCAAUAUGUAUUUCAAUAUCAUCGAGAGAUUUUGAGAAAAAAAUAGUUGCCAUCACUUUCACAGCUAAUGCCCCUUUAAAGUAAGAUGUAAGUGCACAGGUAUCUGAAUUUUAAUCUAAUUAUUUCAAUUAUUUAUUGAUUCACCAAGCAUGUUGGCAUACAAUCAUGUUACACAAUAUGAGAUAUAUAAUGACAAUAAACUAAUUACUAACAGUUCAUUUACAUAUAUGUAAAUACAAGUAUAUAUUUGAUAUGUACCUGUGAUAUUAGACUAUGUAUACAAUUUAGUAUUGCAUAUUACAUAAAUUAAAUGUAGUUAUAGCACUCUACUUUUGGUGCGCAAUUCAAAACAUUCAUGUAAAAAUUAAAUGUAGUUAUAGCACUCUACUUUUGGUGCGGAAUUCAAAACAUUCAUGUAAAAAUUAAAAAACCUUCUAGCAUGAACUACAUUGACAGGGUUGCAUAGUACUUUACAAUGGUUUUCCUUUGAUAUAGCAUCGUGUGAAUUGUAGAUGUUCAAAGGGUAAUAGUUAAUUAGAAAAAAAAUGUGAAGAAUUUUUUUUUUUUAUAUCUAAAUAAAUGGAGAGAGAGAGAGAGAGAGAGAGAGAGAGAGAGAGAGAGAGAGAGAGAGAUUUCUUUUCUUUAUUUACAUGUAUAUCUGUUGAUUACAGUUCAGAUACUGGGUUUGUGAGUUGAAAUUAAUCAAAUGAGAGUGGUAAAAAUCCACCUUUAUAUGUAUAAUUUACAUAUCAGGAUUUUAUCCAGGUACGUUAUUCUGGUUUGUGGAAUGCUAAUUUAUACUAAGUUAGAAUAAUCUAAGCUGUAUACCAAAGUAGGUCUUCAUGGGGCUUUACGGCUCUAUGCAUCGUAAAUAGAGAUCGGGUUCAAUGCGUCGGGUGUGGGAUUCACACAAUAUAUGCUGAGCGCGAAAGUUGAUAUUGACAGGCGCCAUAAUGUUAUACCGGUAAACAACAUUUUGAACAUGAAUCGAGAACAGGAGUUGAAUCAGUUGAUGCAGAUAUUCUGAGGAGAAUCUUCCAGUCAUUGAAAUAUAUUUCAUGAUAGUCAUGCAGAUUCAGAAGUUGUGAUGGUGUGUUGAUAGGCUGUCUUCAACUUGCCAUAUCUUAGAGUUCCAACAUGCAGGCCUGGAUUAAUGUGUAUAAAUCACUAAUGAAAAAAAGAAUGACAUUUCGAUUUAUACACACUUGCCAAGUGAAUCUGAUGAGACUGCUACAUGUAUUUGUGAGUAAAGGUACUCUGUCUUAACCAAAAAACUAUUUACAGUUUAUCACAACAAAUGGAUGGGACAGUAGAGCUGUUGCGGACAAUAUGUGAUUGUGAUGACCAAGUACUGAACAAGUGGAAGAUUAGAAGAAGGUCCAGAAUUCAAUCAUGUUUUUUAUUCUAAGGUGCACACAGCAUGGAGAUAGUCCUAUUAUUCUCUCAUUCAUCUAUGAUGGAGAAACUUGUGUAAAUGUUUAGUGUUCUCCCUAAUAAUUAAAUGCCCACAAGUCUGUAUUAAUUUAUCAGAAUAUAAAGUCCUUCACAGUACUGAUUUUAAAAUUAAUGUAGAGUGUCUCCAGAUUUUUCUGAGGAAAAGUGCAUAGUUUACAUGUGUGAAUUUUGAAUAUAUUUCAUUCUUGUCUGCAAAUGUUGCCGAAACCUGUUGUUAUUGAUGCACAGUCAUGUUAUGCAAAUGAUAGACCUUCUUAAUUACAUGUACAGAAGAUCAUGUCAACUCCUUUGUCUUAAUUGUAUACACAAUUCUAGCAUUUAUAGCAUCAUUUAUAUAGCACUUGCUAGUUUAAGAAGGAUUUUAUUUUCUAAAAGCUUUCAUUUGACAUGAUUGAUCUAAAACGGCCAAAAUUCACAAAUCUAUUUAAAUCACAACCUGACCUUAUGUCAGAAAAGUGCCACUGUGGGUUGAUAUUUUUCUCUUGGAUCUUGAAAGAAAUUCUUUAUGCAGCAGUUUCCAAAUAAAAUGUACUCUCAUGGCCAGGGUGGGACUUCACCGAGAACUUUUUAACAUUGCACAAUGCAAUAUUUGUAGAUUAGAAGUUGUUGCAGUUUCUUUAAGUUUUCUCUCACAUCUUGUUAUAAUUAUAUUUUAUAUUUUUGGUUGGGUUGCACAAUGUGCAAACAGUUUAUAAAAUGGUGAAUUACUCAGUGGUGGGCAAGCGACAGUAGCGUCCCUGUAAUAGUACCUACUUUGUGUAAUCAACUCCUUUCACACCUCUGACUUGAUGUUCCUUAAACUUUGUACAGUUGUUAGGGAUACAUUGAAGAUGUGCAUGUGCCUUUUUGAAAGUGAUCAGACAUUUUUUGAAAAAUUUACAUGUAGUUGAACUUCGUCAUUUUUAAGCAUUUCUUUAAUCGACAGUACCUAUUUUGUGUAAUCAACUCCUCGUAUACCUCUAACUUGACAUUCCUCAAACUGUGUACAUUUGUUUUGAACACAUUGGAAAUGUGCAUGUGUGUUUUUGAAAGUGAUCAGACAUUUAAAAAAAAAUGUAUAUGUAGUUGAACUUAGUCAUUUUUAAGCAUUUCUUGAAUAGAUGGUGACUAUUUUGUGUAAUCAAAUCUUCAUGCACCUCUAACUUGACAUUCCUUAAACUUUGUACAGUUGUUAUGAACACAUUGAAGAUGUGCAUGCAUCUUUUUGAAAAUGAUUAGACUUUUUAAAAAAAAAAUUAUGUGUAGUUGAACUUGGUCAUUUUUAUGCAUUUCUUGAAUAGAUGGUACCUAUUUUGUGUGAUCAACUCGUGCACAUCUAAAUUGAUAUUCCUCAAACUUUGUACAGUAGUUAUGGACACAUUGAAGAUGUGCAUGUGUCUUUUUGAAAGUGAUCAGACUUUUUUCAAAAAAAUUACAUUUAGUUGAACUUUGUCAUUUUUUAAGCAUUUCCUGAAUAGAUGGUACUUAUUUUUUGUAAUCAACUCCUCUUACAGCAUUUAUUUGACAUUCUUCAGACCUUGAACAGCUGUUAUGGAAGCAUUGUAAAUGUGCAUGUGUCUUUUCGGAAGUGAUCAGGCAUUCUUUGAAAAAUUUACAUGUGCAUGGUGAAGUUGAACUUAGUCAUUUUUUAAGCAUGGUACUUUAUGUAACCAACUCAGCUUUUACUUAACAUUUUCCAGACCCUGUACAUUAUAGAUGUUUUAAAAACAUUGAAGAUAUUCAUGUAACAUUUUAAAAAUGCUUCUCUUUUUUUUUUUCUCUUUUUUGUUGUUGAAAAAUUCUACCUUUAAUUUGUCAUUUCCCCAGUAUAUGUUUCUACUGUUGUUCCUAUGAUGGAGAACAUAUUUUACAAGAACCCAGUCAUUUUUGUUUUUGAAUAAUUUUUUUUUAAUUAGUAUUUUUGAAUAUGUUAAUUACUUGAUAUGUCAUUGUUCUUGAAAUUAUAUUAAUUGAAUUGUUA